AUUGAACGCUGGCGGCGUGCCCAACACAUGCAAGUCGAGCGGUAACAGGUGUAGCAAUACAUGCUGACGAGCGGCGGACGGGUGAGUAACGCUUGGGAAUCUGCCUAUUAGUGGGGGACAACCCGGGGAAACUCGGGCUAAUACCGCAUACGCUCUACGGAGGAAAGCCGGGGACCGCAAGGCCUGGCGCUAAUAGAUGAGCCCAAGUCGGAUUAGCUAGUUGGUAGGGUAAUGGCCUACCAAGGCGACGAUCCGUAACUGGUCUGAGAGGACGACCAGUCACACCGGAACUGAGACACGGUCCGGACUCCUACGGGAGGCAGCAGUGGGGAAUAUUGGACAAUGGGCGAAAGCCUGAUCCAGCGACGCCGCGUGGGUGAAGAAGGCCUGCGGGUUGUAAAGCCCUUUCAGUGGGGAAGAAAAGCCUCGACCUAACACGUCGGGGUCUUGACGUAACCCAUAGAAGAAGCACCGGCUAACUCUGUGCCAGCCGCCGCAGUAAC
rnacentral:rRNA from 1 species